rnacentral:rRNA from 1 species
UGAGGAAUAUUGGUCAAUGGUCGGAAGACUGAACCAGCCAAGUAGCGUGAAGGAUGAAGGUUCUAUGGAUUGUAAACUUCUUUUAUACGGGAAUAAAGCCCACUACGUGUAGUGGUUUGUAUGUACCGUAUGAAUAAGCAUCGGCUAACUCCGUGCCAGCAGCCGCGGUAAUACGGAGGAUGCGAGCGUUAUCCGGAUUUAUUGGGUUUAAAGGGAGCGUAGACGGGAUGUUAAGUCAGUUGUGAAAGGCUGCGGCUCAACCGCAGCACUGCAGUUGAUACUGGUGUCCUUGAGUGCGGUUGAGGUGUAUCGAAUUCGUGGUGUAGCGGUGAAAUGCUUAGAUAUCACGAAGAACUCCGAUUGCGAAGGCAGUACACUAAGCCGCUACUGACGUUGAGGCUCGAAAGUGUGGGUAUCAAACAGGAUUAGAUACCCUGGUAGUCCACACGGUAAACGAUGAAUACUCGCUGUUGGCGAUAUACGGUCAGCGGCCAAGCGAAAGCAUUAAGUAUUCCACCUGGGGAGUACGCCGGCAACGGUG